rnacentral:rRNA from 1 species
UCGAGUUUUGAAGUGGGCUUGAUGCUGGCUUCUUUCCUGAAGCAUGUGCUCAGCCCCGCUCUCAAAUCCACUCAACACCUGUGCACUUUCAAAGUCAAUGUAGUCCUCCGUCAUGGGAGUCGUAGGUCUUAGGAUCUGCUGGGACUGCUUGCUUUGCCCCUUCAUCACAAACUAUAUUGCAUUGUCUUGUAGAAUGUGUUAGCCUCUUAGUGGGCGAAACUUAAUACAACUUUCAACAACGGAUCUCUUGGCUCUCGCAUCGAUGAAGAACGCAGCGAAUUGCGAUAAGUAAUGUGAAUUGCAGAAUUCAGUGAAUCAUCGAAUCUUUGAACGCACCUUGCGCUCCUUGGUAUUCCGAGGAGCAUGCCUGUUUGAGUGUCGCUAAAUCAUCAACUCCCUCCUUUUUUCUAAAGGUCGGUGAGCUUGGAUUUGGGGAUCUGCUGGCCUCACGGUCGGCUUCCCUUGAAUGCAUUAGCUGGAUCCAUGAUUUGCAGCAUAUAUGCGGUGUGAUAAUGUCUUCACUGCAUUGCUCAGAUCGUCUGGCUUCUAAUAGUCCUUUGAUUAGGACAACUUUGAUCAUUCAGACCUCAAAUCAGGUAGGACUACCCGCUGAACUUAAGCAUAUCAAAA